UGGGCCUAUAGCUCAGCUGGUUAGAGCGCACGCCUGAUAAGCGUGAGGUCGAUGGUUCGAGUCCAUUUAGGCCCAUCCA
rnacentral:tRNA from 4 species